CCUACGGGAGGCAGCAGUGGGGGAUAUUGCACAAUGGGGGAAACCCUGAUGCAGCGACGCCGCGUGGGCGAAGAAGUAUUUCGGUAUGGAAAGCCCUAUCAGCAGGGGAGAAGAAAUGACGGUACCUGAGUAAGAAGCACCGGCUAAAUACGUGCCAGCAGCCGCGGUAAUACGUAUGGUGCAAGCGUUAUCCGGAUUUACUGGGUGUAAAGGGAGCGCAGGCGGCACGGCAAGCCUGAUGUGAAAGCCCGGGGCCCAACCGCGGGACUGCAUUGGGAACUAGCGGGCUGGAGUGCCGGAGAGGUAGGCGGAAUGCCUAGUGUAGCGGUGAAAUGCGUAGAUAUUAGGAGGAACACCAGUGGCGAAGGCGGCCUACUGGACGGUGACUGACGCUGAGGCUCGAAAGCGUGGGGAGCAAACAGGAUUAGAUACCCCUGUAGUC
rnacentral:rRNA from 1 species